UAUACCAUUUGUCAUCACUUGUCAUCACUUUACAUGUUUAGGAUAGGUUUGCAUGCAUGUUGCAUAUUUGUGUUGAUUUCAGGUGAUUUGGAGCUGUUAACGAGCUAACUGGAAGAGUGGACCUGAUCAUGUCAAACCACUCGACCCGAAGGUCGAGUAGAAGUUUCAUGACGUCAACAGACCACUCGACCCCCUGGUCACCUGACCAUCACUCGAUCACAUCACUCGACCCCGAGGUCGAGUGUCUUCACCUCCAUUACCAGAUCACCACUCGACCACACCACUCUACCUGGAAGUCGAGUAUCACCAUCACCACCACUUGACUACAUACAUUGCGAGCUUCAGAGUCUUCUUCAUUCCGCACUCAACCAGACACUCGAGCACAAGGAAGAAAAGAAGACUCCAGCAUAUCACUCGACCACCUGGGUCGAGAACAAUUCUUAAUCCGACCUAGUACUACGACGUUUUGAGUAUUAGGGUUUCAGAAUAUUUUGCUAUAAGUAGCAUGUACCUUACAUUUUCGAAGUAAGUUUUUAUCUAGUUUUAUUCCGCAGACACUAUGUUCUAGACCUUUUGUAAUCCGGAUUUCUCUUUAUCUAUUCAGUAUUCAGUAUUUGUUCUUGAUUUUUGUUUACUGUUGUUCAUCCUGUUAUCUUCUUUUUAUUACUCUGCUGUUAUCAUGUUUUCAUUCCAUUCAACGUUUAUGUUUUCUGUAAUGAUGUCUGAGUAGUGAAUAGAUUUCUGAGGAUGGGUUAGAGUAGUGUAGAAUUCUCAGUAUGCUAGGUGGUUGAGUUUGAUUUAUAGAUCCCUUCUGGAUUAGUUGUUCUUAAUGCCUAUUGCUUUCUGAGAAUUUGAUCAACUGGAAUUUGAGUCCAGACAUUUCCGCGCCCAAAAGGUAUUCGAUGAAAUGUCUGAACCACUAAUUCUAGAGAUUUGUGGCCCUGUACAAAGGUAUUGGUUGCAGGGAGCGUUUUGGCUUUAACUUGUUUAUUCGUAAUGCCUGUUAGGUUAGCUCUCGUUAAUGGUGAUUGAGUCUGGGACUAGGUUAACUUGAGGGUCUCUGUUGUGAUGGCACUUAGAUUUGGUUAAGGAACUUGUUGUCUAGGGAUAAUUUAUUGAGCAUGUCAAUCACCUGUAAACUGAGGAAACGAGACUACUCAAUUACCCCAUCCUCGGGAAUUCUUUAUCUGAUUAAAUUCUUUGUUUACUCUACUGUUGUUUACAGCAUCUUGUCAUCUGAUGCUUAAUUUCUACAAUUCUUUCUUCUUACAGCAUCUUCUUACUUGGCUUUACUUGGUGACUUCUGAUCACAUCUUGAUUGUUAGCAUCACACCCAUUUGGAUUGACAACCUUCAAUACUACAACGACAUGAUACUGCUUUAGGAUUAAUUGAUCUUAAAAACCUAUUAUCACUUGUAUCGAUCGACACUGAUGUGCGU
rnacentral:sRNA from 1 species